GCUGGGCAUGGUGGUGCACACCUGUAAUCCCAGCAACUCGGGAGGCUGGAGCAGGAGGAUCAUGAGUUCAGGACCAACUCAGCAACUUCACAAGGAAGGCCCUGAGCAACUUAAUGAGGCCCUGUCUCAA
rnacentral:sRNA from 1 species